GACGGAGGGUGCAGGCGUUGUCCGGAUUCAUUGGGCGUAAAGAGCUCGUAGGCGGCUCAGUAAGUCGGGUGUGAAACCUCCAGGCUCAACCUGGAGACGCCACUCGGUACUGCUGUGGCUAGAGUCCAGUAGGGGAGCGUGGAAUUCCUGGUGUAGCGGUGAAAUGCGCAGAUAUCAGGAGGAACACCAGCGGCGAAGGCGGCGCUCUGGGCUGGAACUGACGCUGAGGAGCGAAAGCGUGGGGAGCGAACAGG
rnacentral:misc_RNA from 1 species